AUGUUCUUCACACUGGUUGGCAUGCCAGUUACAUCGUUAAUGGACGACAUCAGUUCCUACAUACGAUUUAUUUGGCGACAAUUUGCAAACUGCGGGGAAUUAAUUGCCUUAUCUGACCUUCCAACGACACUGAAGACCUUCUCGAGGCUGUUUCUUGAUGAGUCCUCUGGCAAAUUCUCCGCUAUGAUCAUCCGAGACUGCGCAGACAAAAAAAAGGUGGUGGUUCAGUUGUGGGUGGGUGGGCAGACUAGAGAUGAGAUGGAGUCUUUGCAAGUCAGUGACCUGAAGUUCUUCUUUGUGCUUCUCGGUGAAGGGCUGCCUGCGCCGAACUUUCUUCCCAUCAUCGCUCACAAUCUGCAGCCAAAAUUUCAUUAUCCUGUGAGAAGGAUGCUUCAUCUGGUAGCUGCAACAAACAAUGGCUAUAGGUUGCAAGGAGCAGCUUAA
rnacentral:rRNA from 1 species